CGACAGUGUUUGAUCUUACCUUCCGCCCUGGGUGCACAAACACAGAAACGGAACGCACCGUCUCUGGGAACACGCAUCAGCAUGUGUUCGGCCUGAACACGGGACAAACUGGAGUGGUACCACCUAAAGAAGACAUUAUUAUAGUUAGGACUCUCAAAAUGUAAUCUGAUUAUAUAUAUAUAUAUAAUAUUUUUACACAUGGGGAACAUUAUGUGCACUGUCUAUCCAAUAAUUCAACCGCCAAUUCACCUACAGUUGGGAAAAAGUAUUCCUUUCACCCACGCACCCAUGGCUUAAAAAUACGACUUCAUUGAAGUUUUGAAUGACAGCUCUCUAAACGUUUAUUUUUCUAUAUUAAUAAUUCCAGAUAAAUCACUCACUCUCUGCUCUCGUGUGCGUUUGGUUGUGGCACCGGGCUGCCGAGUCUCAUCUCGAACUCGUUACAUCGCAGCGGUGUGUCUCUGUAGUGACAGAUGAGGCGGUAGAGACUGUCAAACACCAGGUUGUCUGUCAGGUAGAAACGUGUGGAGCCAGACUCCUGACGUGAGUGGAUCCUGCAGUGCUGGACUCGACCAGACCGCCUGGUGGCCAAAAGACGAAAGUGGUUUUACAUGAAAUGGUAAAAGAAAUUCCACUGCUCUGAAAAGUGAUCACUGCCACUGACCAGAAGGACAGAGUGUAGUCUCCCACAAACGUCUCACUGUCUCUGACCAAGAAGGUGCCAUCCUUUGCUCCGCCCUCACAGUACUCCUGCAGCAGCUUCUCCGCCACCUGUCGACCAUCUCGACCUCCACCCAGCUUCCCAUGAAACCAGCGCUCGGCACAGUGCUGCUCAUUGUUGUUGCAUUCCUAAAGAAUGGGAAAAGAGGUAAGAAAGUGAAGAAAAAUCUGAUAUAUAUACAUAUUUUCCACUUCUUUUUCAUCUCUUAGGUGUCCAGAAUCAGCCUCUUUAAAUUGACACUCACUUCCAGAUGCGCUUGAAUUUUACCAGCCUCUGGUAACAACAUGUUGUACUUUUACCACUUCCAUACUUCACGAACUCUAUCAACCAACAUCUGCAGCCUUUCUGUCAUCUCCUUACCUCCUUCCCUUCAUCAUCUUCCUCCUCGUCAGUGGUCUGGUAGUGAGACGUCUCCUCUGAGUAGUAGAUCUUGUUGGUGGUGAGGACAAAGUAAUGUGGAGUCCAUGUCUGUGGAUGAGAAACACCACUUUAUUCAAGAUCUGGUGCAAUUUUUCGGUAGAGCAGCAACGCUGUCUUCAGAAUCUUCCUGCGGAGCUGGUAGGGUGACGGAAGCUCCUCUGCGUUGUUGUCAACCGGCUUGGUGAGCAGCAGAUCUCCAAACACCUUCUUGAAGUGUGUGGCCAUGUUCCUCUGCUGGACCACACUGCAAUGGUCCUCGAUGGACAGGAUCACAGGAUACCUGCACCGAGCACAUCCAGGAACUUGAUCUUGGAGGUCAGAGUGUGGCCAUGAUAGAUGAUCGGCAGGUCGUCUGGUCCGUCCCAGCAGUCCACUAUGAUUCGGCAGCCCAUCCUGAGACAGCGGGAGUAGGCUUCUAGAGAGGAUUCACUGGAAAACUGGUCACCAGUCAGCAACAUACGUGUUGUGUGAAGAGGAGAUCCAGUACUGAGACAGAGGUCGUUUCAUGUCAUCAUGGACGAUAGGUUGGGGCCGGGGAUCACAGAUGGAGUUCUCUUUCGAGAACAGGAAGGAGACAGGAAAUUGUACAGUCCAAGGCCUGGUUCAUUGCGUCACUUCCUGCUCCUUAUCUGGCUGCAGCAGACUGUUUGUCCUGGAGCCGCUUCCACCCAAACAGUAGCCGCAGUUUAAGAACAGGAACAGCGGGCGCUGAGGUCCCAUCACCGACAGGACCAUAACGAGGUCUUUGAAAACAUCUGGAUCUGGUUUCACCUCCGCUGUUCACUGCUGUGACUGAAUCACCAUCGAUUGUCACAAGCCGCUGAUUAAGGUUACGACUGUGUGUGGACUGGCUGCUGGCUAACCCACCUGCCCUCGUGGUUCCUGUCCAUGACUUCAAACUGUUUCUUCAGCCACCUGCAGAGGGAGACAUAGAGACAACAAAAUACCAAUCCUUCUGUUCUUCUCCGGACACAGGAGCCAAAAAGCUGCGUCCACACGUCAUGUGUGGACUUCUCUGUGACUUCUCUGAAUGAAACCAGUGGGAGACACUCACCUGUCCACCUGCAGCGGCGCUGGCGCUUUCUGAGUGUCAGUCAUCAGCCAGUUGAGGCCAGUGACCCACAUGUUAACCUCCUCUUCACUAAAAGCUGUGAUGUCACAGAAAAAUGAAAGACAGAUCACUGAAAAGCCUUAAAUGUUUUCUGUAGAAAACAAAUGGAGUUUAUUCAGUGGGACGGAGAUAUUCAGGUCCACAGAUGUCCUCCACAGAUGAUUAGGGAGAAACAGACUGGAAAUCUUCAGACUGUUCUGUUCCUCAUGCAACUGGGCUUGCUCGAGUUUUUUUUACAGACAUUUUACUGCUCGUCCAACAGAACAGCUUGAACUUCCUUUGGGGAUUUAACGGCCUGGAUUACUGAGAACCUUCAGACAUGACUGCGUUACUUUAAAACUAUAACCAAUCUUGUGUAAAAUACCUUGUAACGUGUAAUGUUAUUCUCCUGCUUACACACAGCAGCCAAUUUGAUAUUGUUUGAGAAGUAAAAAGUUAGAAAUGUACAUUAGUGGCCAAGUGAGUUAGGAAAUGGGGAUUUUAUUUUUUUUCUUUACGGGUUUCCUGUGGAAAAUGUUUUAAGGGAUUGACAUAAAAACAAACUUUGACUGGCAAUUUAAACACUGACCAGCUACACUGAGUGUCCUGAGCCGAAACUCGAGGCCGUACAGCACAAUGAAACAGUGGGUGGAGUCCAAUUUACGAGCCUCCUCUGCGUAGCGCUCAAAAUCCCGGGAGCCCUUCCCCAGCCGCAGCUCCCGGAUCUCUCGUAUGUCGACUGGAGGAUAGAGACAGGAAGGAAGGAAGGAAGGAUAAUGUUGCAUGAGAACAAUUAUGCAGAAGUAUAAAUCACAGCUUGACUCGUUGUUAGUUUCCCUGUCAAACACAUUGGAAUUUGCAACAAGUGUGCUGAACCCCCACCCCUCACUCACUCACCCACUCUCCCAAGGUUUUACAGUGAGGCAAGCAUCACAGCUGUUUGUGGUAGGAUUCUGGUUAAUGACUUCAGCAAACUUAUGUUGUGUGCAAAUGGAUUUAGAGGAAAAUUCACUAAUAUUUAAAACACAAAGAAUGACACAGUGUUGCUGCAAAUUGGCCAGUGUGAAACCUGGUCUGUAUUUUGUUGUAAAAAUGACCAAAAAAAACCUUUUUAUCAUAUGAUGUCAAAUUGUCAAGAGCAUACAGCUGAAAAAUAAAAAAGUGAAAAUGCAAGUUUAAGCCCCAAAA